UACUUCAAGAAACAUUUUUGUAAUUAACUCAAAGGAACUCUUUCAAUUUUCAAAGUUUCAACUUUCUCUACGAAACCACUACCACAAUCGGCAACUGUGAGUUGCUGCUACGACGAUGACAGUGACCUGGCGGCACCUAUAACUUUGUUUUACAUCUGGUAAACUCGUUCAGAUAUAUCUUGUUGCCUAAACGCUCAGAUGAAAAUUUUAUUUUCAGAUCCGAAAAUACAAUAGACAAAUAGUGCCUAAGUUGAUUUGGAUUGUAAUUGUUUACAACUGCUACUGACCGGUGGCUUAUAGAUCUGGUGAACUUGUAGAUAUAUUUCUUGUUUUUAAUCGACUUAUUAGACCUUGAUGCUUUGAUGUUCGUAAUAUGGUUUCCUUUUUUGUUUGUUCGAGCAUCUAAAGACGUGUCAUAUUAGUGAGUUUGAACACCUCAAAAUAACAUUCGAAUCCAUGGUUGGAAGGAGGAUUUGGGGAUGAGAAGUUGUCUAUUGGAAGGAGCAGUCCAUGGUUGCUUUUAAUCGUUUAGAUGGUGCAUUUGGGCAAGUAAACCUUGAGUUUUGGCAGGAAAUCAUGCUUUCUUUGGACAGAUAUGAAAAUUUUGUUCUUCUUUUAAGGUUUUGUGAUGAGAGUGAUAAGAAAAUCCUUGUUUAUGAGUACGCAUCCAAAUCCUUUUAUAAGAGAUGUUUAGAAUUGCAUCCCAAUAGCAGUGAUCUAACUUAGAUCAAAUGCUUGACAAUAUGCAUUGAGAUGGCUCGUGGACUAGACUACCUUCAUAAUUUGGUCGAAACCCAACUUAGGAGUAUUGCACCAUGAUAUCAAGAGUUCAAACAUCCUAUUAGAUAAAUAUUGGAACACCUAAGAGCUUAGAUUUCAGCAAUACUAAAUAUUGGAAGGAAACGGAACACUUUCAAUAUACAAACAUGAAAAUGUGGUCCAUGUUUUGGAGUUUUGGUGAUACGAGGGAUUAGAAGAUUGCUGUGUAUGAGUAUGCAUCUAAUUUGUAUGAGUAUGCAUCUAAAAGAAGUCUAGACUUGCAUCUCAAUACAAUUGGGAUUGCUUGCAGACUAGCAUACCUUCAUAUUUCCACCAGGACCUAACUUAGAGUAUUGCACUUUGAUGUUAAAAGUUUCAAUAUCCUAAGGGGAUAUUGGCAUGCCAAUAUCUUCUCAGAUUCUGGCUUGUCCAAAUUUGCUCCAGCUAACAAGUUCACAUUUAUUUUCACCUCCACCAUUGGUGCAAAUGGAUAUUGUGAUCAACAAUAUUUGUAAGCCCUAUUUUUCACAUAAAGUACGAUGUUUACUCUUUUGGUGUGGUGUUGUUUAAAGCACUAUAUAUGCAGUUUACAACACUAUGUGUGUGGGGGGUUGUGUAUUGGCGACAAUGAUGACUGUCGUUGAACAUGAAUGGCGGGAUGAUGUUGUUAACUAAACAAAGUUAAUACAAUUAGUUUUGCUAAUAUACGAGAUUAAAUAAACCAUAAAACCUUGAGGAACUUUUAAGCAAUAGCUUUUUGAAGCUUGAAGACAGAUCAUGGAAGAUUGAAAGAUACCGUGAGAAUGCUUGAAAAUGCACUUGGAUAUCAAGGCAGGCUAAUAUAGAAAUCUGGGAUUACUGAUAUAGCUGAUUAUUUCACCUUCAUACUCUACGUGUGCCUGGGUGCCCGCAAGCACCUCAUUUCUUGUGGUUAUUGCAACAUAUUCAUUUGUCCUGACCGAUGUUCUCUUGGAAUGAGCAAUGGUUAUGUUCAUGUUCUUGAGCCAGUUGAUCCAGAUAUGAAGUUGGAGCCUGAUAAAUAAUUUUGACUCUAUGGAUACAAGAAAUCACUUUUGCUGUUCAAAGAGUUGCAAAUUAAGGGUUUUUUAUAUUUAUAUUUUUUUUAUUUUUAGUAUCUAUGAUUUUGAGAUCAAAUUGCUAUAGAAAAGGGGCAUACACAUCAUUGGGUGGCCGAAGACCAACGUGAUGUUUAAGCUUGAACGUGAAUUCUAAUGUGUUUACAACUAAAGCAUGUGGAAGCGAUAUAUUUAAGAUGUAAUAUUUUUUAGAGUCAUGUAAGCCAUGGUAAUAUUUCAUUUUGAAAAAUAAGUGAAGAUUCUUAUGCUCUA